UACGUAGGCAGCAAGCGUUGUUCGGAAUUACUGGGCGUAAAGAGUGUGUAGGCGGUGUUCUAAGGCUGUUGUGAAAUCUCCCGGCUUAACUGGGAGGGUGCGGCGGAGACUGGAAUGCUAGAGUGUGGGAGAGGUAAGCGGAAUUCCUGGUGUAGCGGUGAAAUGCGUAGAUAUCAGGAGGAACACCUGUGGUGUAGACAGCUUACUGGACCACGACUGACGCUGAGACACGAAAGCGUGGGGAGCGAACAGG
rnacentral:rRNA from 1 species